rnacentral:rRNA from 1 species
UACGGAGGAUGCAAGCGUUAUCCGGAAUGAUUGGGCGUAAAGCGUCCGCAGGUGGCAAUGUAAGUCUGCUGUCAAAGCGUCUGGCUCAACCAGAUAAAGGCAGUGGAAACUACAUAGCUAGAGUAAGGUAGGGGUAGAGGGAAUUCCUGGUGUAGCGGUGAAAUGCGCAGAGAUCAGGAAGAACACCGGUGGCGAAAGCGCUCUGCUGGACCUUAACUGACACUGAGGGACGAAAGCUAGGGGAGCGAAUGGG